rnacentral:lncRNA from 1 species
CCAGUACUCAUCGUCAUUCGUCGUAAGGUAACAUCCGACAGCGUUUGGCAUUCUAAUCGAAUGGGGCUUUUAUACAAAGUAGAUGAAUGUGCAAGGCUUCUGUGUGUGGGUCCAUAAAACCUACGCCUCACACGGGCGGGGACCCGUCGCCACAACAUUUCUCAGUUAAUGUCCAAACUGUUCAGCUAUAUUAUUCCGACUUCAGACGGUUGAAUGUCUAUCAUAAGCUUGAGCGUGGGACAUGAUUGCCGCCGAUAGGUGCGAGAGAAACUAUGAACGCGAUGUCGCCCACGAGCUUAUCGAACCCCAAGCUAUCACCUUGUAUUCGCAUAUCUUUUCUGUGCACCCUGUUUCAUGGACGUCCAAUACGAUGAACGCAAUGUGGCUAUCCAAGCAUGAAACAUCCAAUUUCAGGCUGCGGCGAUCGUGCUGCUCGGUCCACGGACUUGCGGUGUUUUCCGAUCAAUGCCCAACUCAUUCGGCAAGGAAAACCUUGCUGUCCACUUCUGGCACGUGCCGCGUGGUUAGACGUAACGGAUGGAUGCGUCGAACGAUAUUGUUAACGCGCAUGCCAAUGGCGAAACCGUAAACCAAUGGUAACAUAUAUAAUGCUACGAGUUUCUGUCUUAAAAGGUGAUGACAAAGCUAGAUCGUGCGCUCGUUCCCCCCUAUUCGGAUGCAAUACAUCAUCGUCUUCUUCAGGUCACAUAGCUGCGCU